AAUAUAUAUUAUUUGUUAUGAUUGUUUCUUAUUUUAUAUAUUUUGUAGAAGUUGCACCCACACGUGAUCUCAAUGAAGAAGAUUCUGGUGUUGAGUCUGAUUGAGUACAUCUUGUUAUGGUUGGUUUGCAUUAAGAAUUUUAGCUAUUUUGUUGGAGAAGACACCAUAACUUUGCUAUCAUUUUAAUGACAAUUUAUUUUUAU